rnacentral:rRNA from 1 species
AUUGAACGCUGGCGGCAGGCCUAACACAUGCAAGUCGAGCGGAUGAAGGGAGCUUGCUCCUGGAUUCAGCGGCGGGCGGGUGAGUAAUGCCUAGGAAUCUGCCUGGUAGUGGGGGAUAACGUCCGGAAACGGGCGCUAAUACCGCAUACGUCCUGAGGGAGAAAGUGGGGGAUCUUCGGACCUCACGCUAUCAGAUGAGCCUAGGUCGGAUUAGCUAGUUGGUGGGGUAAAGGCCUACCAAGGCGACGAUCCGUAACUGGUCUGAGAGGAUGAUCAGUCACACUGGAACUGAGACACGGUCCAGACUCCUACGGGAGGCAGCAGUGGGGAAUACUGGACAAUGGGCGAAAGCCUGAUCCAGCCAUGCCGCGUGUGUGAAGAAGGUCUUCGGAUUGUAAAGCACUUUAAGUUGGGAGGAAGGGCAGUAAGUUAAUACCUUGCUGUUUUGACGUUACCAACAGAAUAAGCACCGGCUAACUUCGUG